UGGAGUAUAGCCAAGUGGUAAGGCAAUGGUUUUUGAUACCAUCAGCAAAGGUUCGAAUCCUUUUACUCCAU
rnacentral:tRNA from 1 species